ACUAAACUAGUGUGGUUUAACAUAAGUUUCGAUAAAGAGAUGGAAUAAUAAAAAAUAAGAUGUGGCUCGCUAUGCAACUCAUCGAUUGACUACCAUGGACCUGAGCGACUGGCUACCUCGCAGAAAACAUUAUAUCACCUCUCCACAAGGGACAAUGGCUAACAUACAGGCAGAUGUGACGACAAUCGAAAACGAGACGCUUCCGCAAAACCUCACAAGCCAUCUUAAGUCCGACGCCUGUAUGGUUGGGUUAGAAUUAUUAUUGGUUCCUGUGAUAGAGGUUUUCGGAAUAACCGGAAAUGCCUUUUCUUUGGCUUUAUUUUCUACAAAGCCUCUGAAUAAACAUACAUCGAGUUUCCUUUUGGGAUGCAGGAGCUUGUCGGACAUAGGCUUCCUUUCAGUGCUUGUCUUUGUAUGGGCGUCUGGAGUGUUCAACCUUCAUCUCAGCCAGAUUGACAUAGUUUUCUAAACUGUUGUUUACCUGACCUACGUCUUUUUAUGCUUGUCAGCAUGGCUUGUUGCAUUGUUCGCACUGGAAAACUUCAUCCCGCUCACCACACCGUUCAGUGCGUAAAAGAUAUGCAAGAUAGGGAAUGCAAAAGGUAUUACUUCUUGCAUGACCAUUGCGAUUGUAUUGUGCUACUCUUUCCCGUUUUGGACCGUUGGGCGGAACUGCGUACCAAAAGACAACUAUCAAGGCCUUGUUACGACACUGGUUUACGUGGAUUCCGCAUUAACAAUGUUCGUACCGUUUGCAAUAAUGACAUUUGCUUGAAUUGGCAUGUUAAUAUCGUUCAUUAAAUCAUGUGAGCGUCGCCGAAGACACACUUUUUCUUCAACGACAAGCAAAAAUCCUAUAAGGCAUGCAAUAAUCAUGAUA